CUUAGUGGCGGACGGGUGAGUAACGCGUAGGGAUUUAUCGUUGGGUGGGGGACAACCCUGGGAAACUGGGGCUAAUACCGCAUGACGCCUGUGGGCCAAAGUCGCGAGGCGCCUGACGAGAAGCCUGCGUCCGAUUAGCUAGUUGGUGGGGUAAGGGCUUACCAAGGCAUCGAUCGGUAGCUGGUCUGAGAGGAUGAUCAGCCACACUGGGACUGAGACACGGCCCAG
rnacentral:rRNA from 1 species